CAUCAGAGACCAUCGAUAUGAAACCCUGAUCAAAGAGUUCAAAUUUCAAAUUCAAAUUAAAAUUCAAAAUUUUGAUCCCGGUACCCAAAAAUGUGUGGAACUCAUGAUUAGAGAAUCCUAAUUCUCAAUCAUAGAGUCCCAGAUAGAUAAGACUCAUAAUCAGCCAUCAGAUCAGAAAGGAACCUCUAAUGUGUGUGACCCCGCAGGUUCGAACCUAAACCGGUAGCACAAGAACCAAUACCUGUACUAAUCGAAGUGACCAUCUAGCAAUGGUACUCGACGAUCGGAUAGGUCGAAUAAUCACAAUCGCAACAUUCAGAACCUACGUGAAUAUGGUUACCGUAUAAUUCAUCCCUUUUGACCCCUGUGUUUAGGAUGACUCAGGGUUAAACUGUCAACCCUGAUGAUAUCAUCCGAAUCGUGCUCAACUCAAUUAGUCCUGCGACUCCUCACUAGGACUACCCUGGAUAAGGUUUUGCUAAAUUGAAACACGACUGUACACAGCUCCUAAACUGGAGUGGUCAAUCCCAUCUUGACACACGCACCGACAAGUCAAGUACUUGACUACACCCA
rnacentral:lncRNA from 1 species